rnacentral:lncRNA from 1 species
UUAGAUCCACAGGACUAGUGGAUCAGCUAACUCGUCAGCCAAUCAAGGGAAGGAAACGAGGGGGAGGGAUUCGAUUUGGUGAAAUGGAAAGAGACGCAAUGCUUGCUCAUGGAGCUUCGUAUCUAUUACACGACAGGCUCCACACCUCAUCAGAUCACCACAUUGCAGAUGUGUGUUCGCUAUGUGGAAGCUUGCUCACAUCUUCGGUUGUGAACGUUCAACAGAAGAAGCUGAUUCAAGAUAUUGGAAAGUUACCUCCUGGCAGGACUCCAAAGAAGGUAACUUGCGAUUCGUGCAAGACAAGCAAAGGGAUGGAAACUGUUGCAAUGCCAUAUGUGUUCAGGUACUUAGCUGCAGAAUUGGCGGCAAUGAAUAUUAAGGUGACUCUUCAGUUAAGCGGCAGAGAAGGAAGCGAUAGAAAAGUAGUCUAAAUUCGCAGCGAUUUCACUGGGCACAUGCUGUAUGUACAUCAAAGUUUUCAUCUUCUCAAAGACUGGAACAAAAAACUGUCUGAAAAUUCUGACGGAUGAAGAUUUAACACCAGAGCAAGAUCGAGAAUCGGAUCUCACAAUGUAACAGAGUCGUUCAUUAGAAGAAUGCAUUGUUAUUAGUUAUUGUUUUCAAUGGUUAGUAUCUUUUUCUUGUGUGAAACGUUGUAUUUGUGAUACUUGAAGCGAUUGUCUUAAACAUUGAUGUAUGAUUAGUAUGGAUAAAAUAAAACCAAUGGAUUUUUGAUCCUUGAAUACCAUUGACUUGAUUGGUGACAUGUUCAAUUAAAUUGCCUAGUUCUUGGGAAUAACCUCUGCAAUUCAAUUCCAUUACUGAUAAAUCAUACAAAGAAUUGCAAAAUUUACAUCUAAGUAUGAUAAAAGUCGCUCUACCAAAGCGUUGUUGCUGACUGGAUCAGCCAAAAUGGUCAGCAAACUGUCCAUUAACCGGUGAGUACCGAACUCAAUAUAUAUACAUAUAUAAAAUAAGGGGAUAUAUAUAAAUUAAACCCUUCUUAAUUUUUUUCGCGCCGCCUUGUGUCUCUCCCUCUCCACUGCAACUCCUCAGGCAAGAUUCUUUGAGACCGAAUUGUAAAGUUUUGACUUGUUACUUGCGACGUAGGAAAAACCCUAAAUAAUAGUGUCCCUUUUGCAGUCUGCACAACCUCAGAAUCGGCCUCGCUAGAGAGCAAAAACCCUAAUCAUGGUUGACAAACUGAAAGACUCGGUUCCAAAACUCGAAGACUUUAAGGAGCUUCACAAUCUCGUCACGCAUCACAUAGAAUCGUUCGAUUACAUGACGGAGAAAGGACUCGCUGUUAUGUUCAAUCGAAUCAAGCCCGUUUCGGUUUACGAUUCUGGGAACAAGCUGAGCAAUAUCCUUUUUUUUUUCUUCUGUCAAUACCGUUUCUCAUGCAUAAUCUGUUCUUACCUGAGGUCCUAGGUUUAGUUACUGUCAAUUCACACCAUUGAUUGAGUUCUAAGAACUUGGUUUAGUUCGCUUUCCUCGUUUCUAGCUCUAAUUCUAUCCUCUGUGCUCUAUGGCUCCAGAUGGGCUUUCGUAAUGUUGAAUUUUGUGUGUUUUGUCUGAUUUCUUAACGAAUAUGAUACUCUGGUUAGAUAACCCUGUAGUGUACCCUCCUCAGAAAGAGAGUCCCAGUUCAACAUCAAGGCAAGAGGCUUUGUUUCCCUUCGAGGUAAAGUUUAUUGUGUUUAAAAUGUUUCCUGGCAUAUUAAUGUUACAUUUGGUGGAGAGUAAUACUGUUUGUUUUGAAUAACAGUGUAGGCAGGCGAAGAUUUCUUACACGGGAAAGCUUAUGGCUGAGGUUUGCUUACAAUACAAUGACGAACCACCAGUCAUUAGAGAUAAAUUUGAUUUCGGGGAAUUACCUAUUAUGCUGAUGGUGGGUGAAAUGUUCGUUUGGUUUUCCUACUAAUUUCUUAUGAUUCUCUCUCCAUUCCUGAAGAUGUGUCGUAUUACAAGUGUAUGUAAGAUAUUUUAAUACUGGAUUGUAAACCAAAACGUUGCCGUGGUGCCAAUAAGCGAGAGUCACUUAUAACUAACAAUAGAACAAAGCUUAGCUCUCAGUCAUUUCUGUUAAUUCCAAAAUUCUCUCUUUACUUUUCUUAUUAUGACAAGCCUUGAUUAAUGGGCUAAUGGAAAUUGAUCUCCGCACUUUUGUGCAGUCAAAGCUCUGCAACUUACGGGGUGCUGAUUGCCGGAAACUGUUAAAGUAUAAAGAAGCAACUUCUGAAAUGGGAGGGUAAGUCUUCAUCCAUCUCUUAUGCCUUAUGAUAUAGCCACUGCAGUGUAUGUGGUUGAUAUAUGCCAAGUGUUUCUGGGUUUUCUUUCUAAAGCGUAUUUUUUGGGCUUUUGUUUAUUACAUCCUGUAUUGUUUUAUGAAUGCCAUAUACGCAUACCCAUUGUUUCAUAUUAAUAAAAAAUGUAACGGGUAUAUGGCAUUCAUAUAGCUCUUGAAAUGUCUCUUUUUCUUUAAGUGCGAUCAUGAUGAUAAUGUUAGCUUUCUUUCACAUAGGUACUUUAUUUUGAAAGGGAUUGAGAAGGUGUUCCGAUGUGUUAUUGCACCAAAGCGGAACCAUGUAAGCUGUCUCUGAUUUCAACUUCUGCUUUUUAGCUUUCAAUCACUGCGUAUAAAGUUUAUUGGUAAACUGUAUUCUGUGAACUUUCUUGCAUCACAUAUAUCUCUCAGAAUUUAACUGACUAAGAAUCUUAUGUAGCCAAUGGGUAUGGUACGGAAUUCAUUCAUUCAUCGCCAGGAAGGAUUCAGUGAUAAGGCAGUUUCUAUUAGGUAUGUAAAUUUCAUCUCUUUCCUAUGAUGGUUCAUAUAAUAACGUCAAUCUUCACCUUAAGUAGCAAUAUAUCUUAAAGAAUUCUUCAAGCAGUUCUCUCUUUUUUAUUUUCUAGGUGUGUUAGGGACGACCAGUCAUCUGUCACUAUUAAACUGUAUUAUGUUCGAAAUGGAAGUGCCAGAGUUGGAUUUUGGUGAGUGUUAACUCGGUGUGUGGAAUAUGGAAGACAUUACCUACAAUAUGAGCUACUCGUUAAACUUAUUUCUAAUGGACACAGGUUAGGUGGAAAGGAAUAUUUGCUACCUGUCGGCAUUGUUCUCAAGGUAUGGUCUUAGUGAUGACUGUCAAGUAUCUGUCUCCAAUAUCAUGAGAACAGAACUUUAUUUGAGGCGAAGUGUUGUUUUUUGGGGUUUACAUACGACAUCUUUUGGGGGUUCUUCAGGAUUUGUGUUUUUUUCUGCUAUUCAAUUUCUUUUCUUUUCUUUUCAGUUCUCCAAUUUUCACAUCUGUCCUCAUGUGUUCCUAGGCUCUCACUGAAACCAACGAUGAAGAAAUAUAUGAAAACCUGAAUUGUUGCUACAAUGAGCGUUUUGAAAGAUGCGAUGGUGCUAUUGGAACGCAACUAGUUCGUGAGAGAUCCAAAAUUAUUCUAGAUGAAGUGAGAGACUUGGGUCUUUUUACCCGGGACCAGUGCCGGAAGUACUUAGGUGACUUACCUGUCUCAGUGUUUAUGUACACAUAUCUCGAAACUUGUAAGCUAAUGUUUCACUUUCUAAACCAACAGGAGAGCGUUUUCAACCUGCUCUUGAUGGGCUAGAAAAAGAAAGCUAUCCUACUGUAAGUUUAGUAUCAUUCUUAACUUCUCCAUUUUGCUUCAUCACUACAAAAGAGGUUGCUGUUUGCAAAACUGUUUCUUUGCAUUUGUUAUCAUUUACAUAUGAUCAGGUAUUUUGAAUAAACUUCUUCAGGAGUGGCCUUUGGCUGCUAGCUUUUUUGGACUGGGUUCUAAUUAUUACUUGAUAUAUCUACAACUGAUAACAGUAGUCCUUUUUGAAAACUUUUGUCUCUGCAUUCUUAUUCAUUUAGGUUGCUGAUGCCGUGCUGAAGAAUUAUAUAUUUGUUCACCUUGACAACGAUGACGACAAGUUCAAUUUGCUCAUGUAAUUUCUUGCUUUUGCCUCAUGAUGGCUUUUUUGUCAAGUUUUUUUUGUGUGUUAUUGUGGUCAACCUUUUCUUUUUGUUUUCGCAGCUUCCUAAUUCAGAAGCUCUUUUCUCUGGUGGAUCAGACUUCUUUACCGGACAAUCCUGAUUCUCUGCAAAAUCAGGAAAUUUUAGUCCCCGGUCACCUUAUAACAAUCUACCUCAAGGUAUAUAAUCAUCUUCCCAUAUGGUAGAAACAUAUAUCUUAAUGCACAUGUAAGAGCAUGUGAUUUCGUCAAUAUCCAUGUUUCUAAAUAUUGUACGUUUCUAUUUUGCAUAACCAUGAGUGUUGUGUUUACUAGAGAAAGAUUGUUGACGUCGCAUGCAUUGUUUUUUAGGAAAAACUUGAAGUGUGGCUGCGGAAGUGCAAAAGUAUUAUUGAACAGGAGUUUGGUAACAACAAGAGCAAGAAAUAUUCUUUUGAAAGCCGUAAGUCACUUUCAUUUUGUUAUCCUUGUUCAAUAUUCUAAGCUUCCGCAUUCCUUGAAACUAUUUAAAACUCAUUCUUUUUUUGCUAUAUCCACAUUUAUUUCGGCAUGAAUUUUUGCUUGUCCUCUUCCACAGAUAUGUUGUUUACUCAAUCUCAUGUGCUCUGUGAUGAUUCCUUGAUUGAAUGCAGAUGCUGAUGUAAAGAAGCUUAUGAACAGAAAUCCUUCCAGCAGUAUUGGUACGUCAAUUGGGACAUUUUUGACAAGAGGAGAAAUUCAUACGCAGUAUGGUUUGGAUUUCCCGGAGGUAAGCAUUUGAGUUAAUCGCUUGCUUGCGAAGCUAUAUUCUUAUGCAGAUAAGCUCCUUUAGUAUGAUGUAGUUUAAUAGAACAAUACUAAUAUCUCGUUUCUCAAUACCUUACCAGAGCAAAGGUUUCACUGUUCAAGCUGAGAGAUUGAACUUUAUCCGUUUCCUAUCAUUUUUCCGGGCGGUUCAUCGAGGUGCUUCUUUUGCGGAUCUUCGUACAACAACUGUGAGAAAGCUGCUUCCUGAGUAAGUUCUGUCACUUUGUAAUUUGUACCUACUGAACUCCUGGUGUGAAUGAUGCGGUCACCAAAAUAGUUUUGCCUUCACAAUUUUUCUGUUUUAUUGUGAUCUUGUAGAUCUUGGGGUUUUCUGUGCCCUGUUCACACCCCGGAUGGAACACCCUGUGGAUUACUGAAUCAUAUGACUCGUACUUGCCGUGAGUGUCUCUAGCUCUCUUUUUCACUUAUCAGUUUUUCUUCUUAUAUAAGUUGAGUAUGAUAUCUUGAAUUCAGCAACACUAUUCUCUUGACUUGAAAAUCGGUUAUACCAAAUCAGAGUUUACAUGUGUUAGUUAUGCAUUAAAUAAGAGAUUUCACAUAGAAUCAUGUUUAGCGAGAGUUGGUAAUUGAGGAACGCUGUUAUAUAUAUAUAUAUAUAUAUAUAUAUAUAUAUAUAUAUAUAUAUAUAUAUUAGCUCUUUUCUGGUUGCAAUUAAUAUGCACAAAUUUCCCGGUCUGGUCAUUUUGUACCACCAUAAGAUUGCGCAGUCUUGUUAUACUAUUCAAUUUGCCACUUCUUUGCAGUAACAACUUUGCUAAUUAUGUUCUAGUUGGUCAUGGUGUUUUUUAGGAAUCACUUCUCAAUUUGAUUCGAAUGGAAACAUCAGAGAUUUUCAGAAGAUAAGAAAAUCGGUUGUUGAUGUUCUGGUUGGGGUUGGGAUGGUAUGUUCAUUGCCAAAACUUGUACGAGCUGGACCACCAAAAGUCAUUCCUGUUCUUUUAGAUGGUCAAGUAGUAGGAUCACUAUCUUCUAACUUAGUUACGGAAGUUGUUGCUUAUUUGCGGAAACUGAAAGUUGAGGCUCCUUCAGUGGUAAGGCUUUCUCGCUUCGUAACAGUAUAUUUGCUGCCUAUAAACUUCUUCAUUAGUAGAGAACUAUUAAAUCUGAAUGCAUCUCUACAGAUUCCUGAAGACCUCGAAGUGGGAUACGUACCUACAAGCAUGGGUGGAUCUUAUCCUGGAUUGUAUUUGGCAUCAUGCCCCUCAAGAUUCAUUAGGCCUGUUAAAAAUAAAUCUGUUCCCUCUGACAAUAUUGAGUUAAUUGGACCAUUUGAGCAGGUAGCAAACCCCAAGGAUUUACUCUCCACAUCCACCUUUUUUGCUUAUAUCAAAUUAAAAUAUAUAUUCUUUUCUCCCACAUCAGGUUUUUAUGGAAAUAAGCUGUCCUGAUGGUGGCAAUGGAGGAAGGAAUAACUCUUCUCCAGCAACUCAUGAGGAAAUUGAUCCAACAGGGAUGCUAAGUGUGGUAGCUAAUCUUACGCCUUGGUCAAAUCAUAAUCAAAGUCCACGUAACAUGUAUCAGUGUCAGGUACAUACCAUUAUAUUAAUGAAAGUUUGUACUUAGUUAUCCUAGUGGAAGCUUGUGUUUAAGAUUUAAUGCAAUACAGAUGGCGAAACAAACCAUGGCAUUCUCUACUCAAGCACUCCAAUUUCGUGCUGACCAGAAGAUUUACCACUUGCAGGUCAGUUUACAUUUAUGCUCUUAGAAAGCACAAGUACAUGCUACACUGUUCAUUUAAUCAUUUUCCUCUUUUGGUCCCGUGUCUUGUAAACUUACGUGUAUGCCACAGACUCCUCAAUCCCCCGUGGUGCGCACGGAAACAUACACCACAUACAGUAUUGAUGAGAAUCCAACAGGGACUAAUGCAAUAGUUGCUGUCCUCUCUCAUACUGGGUAAGAAGUUUUUUUGGCGUGUAACAGCUUGCUAAUGACACUUCUUUCAUCAGUUUUUCUCUUAUGCAUUUUUUACCUAUCUGCCUCACAGAUUUGACAUGGAAGAUGCGAUGAUUUUGAACAAAUCAUCUGUGGAGCGGGGGAUGUGCCAUGGGCAAAUAUAUCAGGUUCGAGCUCCCAUUCUCAAAUUUUGAUUUUAAGCAUUCAGAUGAAACCUCUGGAUAUGGUGCUUACGUUUAGUUGCAAGUUUUCUUUUGAUCUGCAACUUCAAUAUAAGCCUGGUUCUUUAUGGAACCCCGAAAAUAUAUUCUUGUAGUUGCAGCGAGGGGUUAAUUAUCAUCAUACAAAUUACUCAGCAUUUCUCUUUUGUGGAUUUCUUACCCUUGUCCUCAUAAUCGUGCAGACGGAAACUGUUGAUCUGUCAGAUCAGAGAAGCCGAUCAGAAAAUGCACAUAAAAGUUUCAGGAGAAGUAAAGUUGACAAAUCAGCUCAUUCUUGUAUUGAUGCUGAUGGGUUGCCAUAUGUUGGACAGGUAAAUCAUUACUUGCCAUCCUCUUGAUGUGCUGUAGACUUAUUCUGUAACUUUAGUUCCCUUGUUAACAUCCACAGAAACUCACCAAUUUUAUGUUUGGAUCUGAUGCACAGAAAAUAUAUCCAAAUGAGCCGUACUGUAGUAUCCAUGACGGGGUAACUAACUCAAUAAAGACCAUUAAGCGCAAAGGCACCGACCCUGUCGUAGUUGACUUUGUCUCUGUUGACAUGAAAAGCAAGACGCAUCCUCAAAAGGUGAGGUUAACUCCUUCAACGGUCGCAUAAACAGAGUCCGGUUUUGGUUAAAUCUAAUUCUUAAGGUUCAUUUGCAGGCGAAUAUUCGAUUUCGUCAUGCCAGAAAUCCCAUAAUCGGUGACAAAUUCAGCAGUAGACACGGGCAAAAGGGUGUUUGCUCGCAAUUGUGGCCUGAUAUUGAUAUGCCAUUUAAUGGAGUUACUGGAAUGCGUCCAGAUCUUAUCAUUAACCCGCAUGCUUUCCCAUCAAGAAUGACAAUCGCUAUGCUUUUGGAAUCUAUUGGUGCCAAGGUAUCCUUCGAAAUUUGUCUGAUUCUCAAGUUUCUCAGACACUGAUGCCAUGCAUCUUGUUUUUGCCUCUGUUUUAACCAACUUAAAUUUUUACCCGCGGGUUUUACAGGGAGGUAGUUUGCGUGGAGAGUUUGUAGAUGCAACGCCGUUUCGUGAUGCAGUAAAAAAACCAAACGGGGAAGAGAAGAGCGAAUCCAGUCUACUUGUUGAUGAUCUUGGUUCCAUGUUGAAGGAAAAAGGGUUCAACUACUAUGGGACUGAGACAUUAUACAGUGGGUAUUUAGGAGUAGAGCUCAAGUGCGAGAUAUUUAUGGGGCCUGUUUAUUACCAAAGACUACGUCACAUGGUCUCAGACAAAUACCAGGUUCUUGGAUCCCUCUGUAAAACUCUCCAACUUGCACUUGUCUCAUUUUGGAGCUUUGUCUGAGUCAUAUAUUCUGGCUUGCAGGUUAGAUCCACAGGACUAGUGGAUCAGCUAACUCGCCAGCCAAUCAAGGGAAGGAAACGAGGUGGAGGGAUUCGAUUUGGUGAAAUGGAAAGAGAUGCAAUGCUUGCUCAUGGAGCUUCCUAUCUAUUACACGACAGGCUCCAUACCUCUUCAGAUUACCACAUUGCAGAUGUGUGUUCGCUAUGUGGAGGCUUGCUCACAUGUUCGGUUGUGAACGUUCAACAGAAGAAGCUGAUUCAAGGUAUUGGAAAGUUACCUCCUGGCAGG